rnacentral:rRNA from 1 species
UACGGAGGGUGCAAGCGUUGUCCGGAUUUAUUGGGUUUAAAGGGUGCGUAGGCGGCUUUAUAAGUCCGUGGUGAAAGCCAACAGCUCAACUGUUGAACUGCCAUGGAUACUGUAAGGCUUGAGUACAGACGAGGUAGGCGGAAUGGAUGGUGUAGCGGUGAAAUGCAUAGAUACCAUCCAGAACACCGAUUGCGUAGGCAGCUUACUAGGCUGUAACUGACGCUGAGGCACGAAAGCGUGGGGAACGAACAGG